CCCUUAGAUGUUCUGGGCCGCACGCGCGCUACACUGACGAUGGCAACGAGUUUUUCCUUCGCCGAAAGGUGUGGGUAAUCUUUUGAAACAUCGUCGUGCUGGGGAUAGAUCAUUGCAAUUUUUGAUCUUGAACGAGGAAUUCCUAGUAAGCGCGAGUCAUCAGCUCGCGUUGAUUACGUCCCUGCCCUUUGUACACACCGCCCGUCGCUACUACCGAUUGAAUGGUUUAGUGAGGACUCCUGAUUGGCGCCGCCGCCCCGGCAACGGAGCAGCGGACUGCCGAAAAGUUGUUCAAACUUGAUCAUUUGGAGGAAGUAAAAGUCGUAACA
rnacentral:rRNA from 1 species